rnacentral:snRNA from 1 species
GUGCUUGCCUUGGCAGUACAUAUACUAAAAUUGGAACAAUAUAGUUAGCAUGGCCCCUACACAAGGAUAACAUGCAAAUUCGUGAAGCAUUCCAUAUUUUU